rnacentral:rRNA from 1 species
GACGAACGCUGGCGGCGUGCUUAACACAUGCAAGUCGAACGGAAAGGCCUUUUCUGACGUACUCAAUUGGCUAACGGAUGAGUAACACAUGGGUGAUCUGCCCUGCACUCUGGGAUAAACCUGGCAGACUGGGUCUAAUACCUGAUAGAACCGAACUUUAUUGUGAGUGGGGGAAAGAUUUUUCUGCGUAGGAUGAUCCCCCCGCCUAUCAUCUUGUUGGUGGGGUAAUGGCCUACCAACGCGGCGACGACUAGCCGGACUGAUAAGAUGGUCUGCCGCCUUGUUACUGAUAUACUGCCCACACUACUACUGCAGGCAGCAGUGGGGAAUAUUGCACAAUGGGCGCAAGCCUGAUGCAGCGACGCCGCCUGGGGGAUGACGACCUUCUUGUUGUAAACUCCUUUCUCCACUGACGAAGAAUUUUGUGACUGAACCUGCAUAAAAAACACCCGCUAACUACCUGCCUGCAACCGCCGUAAUACAUACGGUGCAAGCGAUCUCCGGAAUUACUGGGCGUAAAUAGCUCGCACGUGGGUUGUCACGUCCUCUGUGAGAUUCCACAGGCUUAACUGUGGGCACUGCAUGCGAUACAGGCUGACUUGACUACUGUAGGGGUAACUAGACUUCCUGGUGUAGCUGUGAAAUGCGCAGAUCUCAUGACGAACACCGAUGGCAAGAGCAAGUUACUGCUCAGUUACUGACACUUAAGAACCAAAGCCUGGGUAACAAACACAGAAUAAAUACCCUGGUAAUCCCUGCCCUAAACCGUGGGCGCUAAGUGUAGAGUCCUUUUGGCGUUUCUGUGCCCUAACUAACCCAUUAAGCGCCCCCCCCGGGGAAUACCGCCCCCAGGCUUAAACUCCAAAGAAUUGACCGGGGCCCCCACCAGCCGCGGAACAUGUGGAUUAAUUCCAUGCCACCCCAAAAACCCUUACCUGGGCUUGACCUACACCAGAUCCCCCCAAAAAUGUAGUUUCCCUUGUGGCUGGUGUACAGGUGGUGCAUGGCUGUCGUCAGCUCGUGUCGUGAGAUGUUGGGUUAAGUCCCGCAACGAGCGCAACCCUUGUCUUAUGUUGCCAGCACGUUAUGGUGGGGAUUCAUGAAAAACUCCCGGGGUUAAUUCGGAGGAAGGUGGGGAGGACGUCAAGUCUUCAUCCCCCUUAUGUCCAGGGCUUCCCCCAUGUUCCAAUGUCCGGUCCAAUGCGCAGCGAGCCUGUGAGGGUGAGCUAAUCGCUUAAAGCCGGUCUUAGUUCGGAUUGGGGUCUGCAACUCGACCCCAUGAAGUCGGAGUCGCUAGUAAUCGCAGAUCAGCAAUGCUGCGGUGAAUACGUUCCCGGGCCU